AUACUGCGUGGUGGCGACGCUCUCGACGUUGAAAUUAACAUGAACCUACACACACACAUACACACUGCGUAAUCGCGACGUCCUCGUCUAGACUCGCUAUCUAGAACUAACGGGAUCAAAAGCACUGCUGCUUGCCCGUGCGUAUACAUUAAGAAUAAAGCUUUCAUCAUUCUUGAUCUUGACACCAAACCGAGCAGUUGAUUUAUUUAAAGUGGCAAAUAUAUAUAACCUACAUAUAUCAUAAGUACACAAUAAAGUCAUUAUUGACUCCCAUCACAUCAGCCUGGGCAGCAACUAACUAAGAGUAGAGAAAGGAGGACCCCCGAUCCAACGGAGGCACCCGUAACUGGCGCAGCCGGACUAGAACUAAAAGGAUUAACAACGCCUUUCACGUUCUUCGUUCCACUUCUGUAAACGGUCAAACAUUGGAGCCAACACUUACUUAGAAAGAAACAAACGGAUUCAUAUUAUAAAUACACACUACAUUUUAAGAUUAUCUAUAUAUAAGAUUACAAUUACUUAAUUACACCUUAUUAUUUAAGCUAAAACAUUAUUACACUAAACAUAUACACAACAUAUAGGUACACGUAUACAAAAGUAUAUAAGCACAAUAACACAUAUACCAUAUUUUUAAGUACAACACACAGACUACACAAAUCAAAAACACCUACAUGCCAAAGAGAAUUCCGUUUAAUACCCAAAGUAAAAGAAGACUUGGACUUAGAAGUGGAGGCAGCCUUCCUCAAAUUAGGGAACAAGUAGAACAAUCCACCAACAGCAACAACAUGGACUCGAAAAACUGCACCUGGAGGCAUUGGCAACAACCGGGAAAAUGGACUACAUAACUCAACAAUACUUUACCGCUACGUACCUUGCAUUGAGCAUAGUACUAAUACUUGUGAUCUGUCUCCGAACCUGUAAAAGGCAGAAAACGAUUUUUACCCAGCAACCCACCCACACACCUCACGUUGUCGAGUCGGCUAUCCCUUCGUUAUGGCCAUCUCUCCACACUAGGGGGGGAGGAGUUACCAUGCCCAGCAUUAACCCCCCUCAACAACCACCUCCGCCUAUGAAGCCCGCCCGGUAGGCGA